CGGAAACCCCUCGGCAGGCGUGCAGCUGCUGGUGCAGGGCACCUGCCCCGCCCCUCAGAGGGUGAAGGGAUCCCCGCGCUGCUCCCCAGCGCCGCCGGCCCUCAGAGCCAAAGUGAAGCGAAUUUUAUGGCAUUAUGUACAUUUAAUUUGUACUCAAGCUUGCAACAGAGAACUGUGAGAUAGGACAAGUGAUGUACAAAGGGAAAAUGUCUGAAACAAGGAACCUCCAGAGAGUCAGAAGCUCCUUCUGCAACAGGUGCUGUGUGCCAGCACACGGGAAGUCCGAGCCAGAGCACAUUGCCUCUUCCUGAGCCAUUGGAUGGUGAAGAGUCCCUGCACAGAGCAAGAUGGAACCUUCUCCUCUGGUGCCAAUCACCAGGGGACCAGGUCACCUUCACCUCUGUACUUGCACCCCAUCAGCUGACACCACUUCCCCAGCGCACGAAGAUGGGUGAAGCUUGUCUUGCUCAACUUCCUCAUAAAUCAUCCUCAGCUCCCAGUGUCUUCCACUGUCCUCACGCCAACUGCUUCACCUUCUGUGACUGCGAAUUUCAACUCUCAGCUGCAAGGAGCAGACAGAGACCAUCACAACUCCUGGGCCAGGUGGAAUGCCAGAAAAGGUACACAGCACUCCACACUGGUACUGCUACACUCCUAUCUUACCAGACACCUGUUCUAUAAAAUACAUAAAAUCUGGAAGAACUCAACCUUCCUGCAGAACUAAACAGCACCUGUAGACCUCUGAAGGGAUCUCACAUCAUUUGCUUAACGGUUAUAUGAACUUGAAAAGGAAAUUAAAUGUUUUACCCUUGCUUCAUUGUUUCUAAAUCA